AUGAACGCUGGCGGCGUGCCUAAUACAUGCAAGUCGAGCGAACGGACGAGAAGCUUGCUUCUCUGAUGUUAGCGGCGGACGGGUGAGUAACACGUGGAUAACCUACCUAUAAGACUGGGAUAACUUCGGGAAACCGGAGCUAAUACCGGAUAAUAUUUUGAACCGCAUGGUUCAAAAGUGAAAGACGGUCUUGCUGUCACUUAUAGAUGGAUCCGCGCUGCAUUAGCUAGUUGGUAAGGUAACGGCUUACCAAGGCAACGAUGCAUAGCCGACCUGAGAGGGUGAUCGGCCACACUGGAACUGAGACACGGUCCAGACUCCUACGGGAGGCAGCAGUAGGGAAUCUUCCGCAAUGGGCGAAAGCCUGACGGAGCAACGCCGCGUGAGUGAUGAAGGUCUUCGGAUCGUAAAACUCUGUUAUUAGGGAAGAACAUAUGUGUAAGUAACUGAGCACAUCUUGACGGUACCUAAUCAGAAAGCCACGGCUAACUACGUG
rnacentral:rRNA from 1 species